rnacentral:rRNA from 1 species
AGCGGCGGACGGGUGAGUAACGCGUGAGCAACCUGUCCCAAUCUGGGGAAUAACGAGCCGAAAGGUUCACUAAUACCGCAUAAGACCACAGUGCCGCAUGGUACAGGGGUCAAAGGAGUAAUUCGGAUUGGGGUGGGCUCGCGUCUGAUUAGCUAGUUGGUGAGGUAAUGGCUCACCAAGGCGACGAUCAGUAGCCGACCUGAGAGGGUGAUCGGCCACACUGGAACUGAGACACGGUCCAGACUCCUACGGGAGGCAGCAGUGGGGAAUAUUGGGCAAUGGGCGAAAGCCUGACCCAGCAACGCCGCGUGAAGGAAGAAGGUUUUCGGAUCGUAAACUUCUAUCCUUGGUGAAGAUAAUGACGGUAGCCGAGAAGGAAGCCCCGGCUAACUACGUGCCAGCAGCCGCGGUAAUACGUAGGGGGCAAGCGUUGUCCGGAAUGAUUGGGCGUAAAGGGCGCGUAGGCGGCCUGGUAAGUCUGGAGUGAAAGUCCUAUUUUUAAGGUGGGAAUUGCUUUGGAUACUGCUGGGCUUGAGUGCAGGAGAGGUUAGUGGAAUUCCCGGUGUAGCGGUGAAAUGCGUAGAGAUCGGGAGGAACACCAGUGGCGAAGGCGACUAACUGGACUGUAACUGACGCUGAGGCGCGAAAGUGUGGGGAGCAAACAGGAUUAGAUACCCUGGUAGUCCACACU